CCUAGGCGCUGGGCUCCAGGGACCGGCUCCGACUGCUGCAGUUCGGGCCUUAUUUUAGGGUGAAGCCCGGGCAGCCGACCCGCCUGCGCCGUAGUGGGAGGCCACGGCGAUUAUCCAGGUGAAGGUCUUCCAGCCCAGCCCUGGAAGGUGGAAGAAGAAAAGUUGACAUGGAAUGUUUAGGAAGCACCGUUGGUCCAGGUCCAGGAUCGGGGCAGCCAGCAUGUCCUCUAAUCUGGCUUCACUGCUGAAAUCCAUACCUCGCAAGGGUUUUUUGCAUGUCUGAUACCUACGGCUCCAACAGGACCCACUGACUGAUGAUGGCUCCACCUGGACCUGCCAACUACUCCUGUAGCCCCACCCAGAAGCGGUUCAGCACACGGGAGGAUCCUGUCUCACACCCUACGAUGGCCCCUCGCCCCCCGCAACCCAUCAGCAGCAAGCACCCACUGCCAAGCUACCCCACCCCUUCCCCCAAACUACCUCUGGAAAACCCUAGUCCCCAAAUUCUUGGGGAGACUGAUUUCAGUAAUCAUCAAAUUCUGGUCUCCCAUUCACUUGUCUCUGUGUGAAUUAAACCCUU